AGCGGCGGACGGGUGAGUAAUGCGUAGGAAGCUGCCCGAUAGAGGGGGAUACCAGUUGGAAACGACUGUUAAUACCGCAUAAUGUCUACGGACCAAAGUGUGGGACCUUCGGGCCACAUGCUAUCGGAUGCGCCUACGUGGGAUUAGCUAGUUGGUGGGGUAAAGGCUCACCAAGGCGACGAUCCCUAGCUGGUUUGAGAGGAUGAUCAGCCACACUGGAACUGAGACACGGUCCAGACUCCUACGGGAGGCAGCAGCAAGGAAUAUUCCACAAUGGGCGCAAGCCUGAUGGAGCAACGCCGCGUGCAGGAUGAAGGUUUUCGGAUUGUAAACUGCUUUUAUGUGCGAAGAAUAUGACGGUAACACAUGAAUAAGGAUCGGCUAACUCCGUGCCAGCAGCCGCGGUCAUACGGAGGAUCCAAGCGUUAUCCGGAUUUACUGGGCGUAAAGAGUUGCGUAGGUGGCAGUUUAAGCAAGUAGUGAAAUCUGGUGGCUCAACCAUCAACCCAUUAUUUGAACUGAACUGCUCGAGAGCGAGAGAGGUCACUGGAAUUCCUUGUGUAGGAGUGAAAUCCGUAGAUAUAAGGAGGAACACCAAUGGCGUAGGCAGGUGACUGGCUCGUUUCUGACACUGAGGCACGAAAGCGUGGGGAGCGAACAGGAUUAGAUACCCUGGUAGUCCACGCCGUAAACGAUGGAUGCUAGCUGUUAGGAGUAUCGACCCUUCUAGUAGCGAAGCUAACGCGUUAAGCAUCCCGCCUGUGGAGUACGGUCGCAAGACUAAAACAUAAAGGAAUUGACGGGGA
rnacentral:rRNA from 1 species